AAUGUCACGUGUUACAUUUGAUGAGGGGCGGGAGAAUCCCUUCGGUUUCCCGCGUUUUGACCGUUGUUUACUUUCUUCGGCUCCUGGUGUUCCUGCAACCUUCGCAAGUCCACCUCUAUUUGUCGUGAACCCUCGUUUCUGAGCGUUGAUCUUCCCUUCUUGGUGUCUUGUUGAUUUUUUUCACGUAUUUAUUUCUUUCGCGAGAUUCCGAUUGCCUUUGUAAUUAGCCCAAAACUCGGGUGUACCACGUGCUUUGAUAUCUGGGGGUUCCGUGACUGGGACAACUGGGGUUUCUUGUGGAAAGACCUUCGGCAUUUUCCUAUUGAAACCAGACGUGGCUGUCGAGAUUCAGUCGAUUCGUUCUUUAGCGGCGAUUAAGCGUCUGUUCGUCAUGACUGCUGGAUUGACGGUCAUCCUCCCGAGGCAAAGCAGCCCGCGGUGGACGUGCCGAGGUUCUGCGGGAAAGAACAAGGAUGCCCGGGAGACGAACACUUUCUGCAGGAACCACAAGGCAGGCCAUGGUUUCAUCGAACAGCCGGGAGUGGAGCGGGAUGCUGAAGGAUAGAGGCGCUCACUUCAGUGAGCCCAGCUUGAACCCAACCAUUGGUGUCCUGGGCACCACUCUGAAUAAGCUGCUUCAGUUGUGACUUGUAGCACUAAGUUCCUGUCACCCAGUUCAUCGUCAUCUCGGAACCAAGGGCAUUGGUCCUGCCUGCUAGUUACCACUUGAAUAAAAGUUGGAAUGGUGCAGUGUGUUUGUGUAAAUAAACUGUUGAAGUUGUGACAGUAUUUUUGUUUUUGUAGGUAAUGAGAAUUAUUUACAUUGAAAGAUCCCAUCCAUCCAUCCAUCUAUGAUCCUUCAUGCCAUAAAGUAGUACUAAAUAAACUGUUGAAGUUGACAGUAUU
rnacentral:lncRNA from 1 species